rnacentral:rRNA from 1 species
UAACCUGCCCAAGAGACUGGGAUAACACCUGGAAACAGAUGCUAAUACCGGAUAACAACACUAGACGCAUGUCUAGAGUUUAAAAGAUGGUUCUGCUAUCACUCUUGGAUGGACCUGCGGUGCAUUAGCUAGUUGGUAAGGUAACGGCUUACCAAGGCAAUGAUGCAUAGCCGAGUUGAGAGACUGAUCGGCCACAUUGGGACUGAGACACGGCCCAAACUCCUACGGGAGGCAGCAGAU